rnacentral:lncRNA from 1 species
AAUAAUAUCAACAAAGGACACCAAACUAAUUGGGAUUAAAAAACUCUUUUGUGUCACUUAAGGGUGGUGUCUCUUGUGAAGACCUGGUUUAAGAAAAAUAAUGUAUUGUGAAAACCUGGGAGGCUGAAAAAUUAAUGUACUUUAAAUAAUACAUCAAGUUUCAUGUUUAUUUUUUACUGUCUGUGGUUGGAUAUUUCAACUGGUGUUAACCUAGAGCUUAGAUUAGAGCUUGUUUGGUCAGUCGGUUUGCUUAGCUGUGUGUUUUUCUCCACUGCCACAUCAUUAAUUUUAAAAUACUGAUACUAGUUUAAAAUGUUAUUUUCCUGUAUCAUUCCUUUACUUAGGUUUAUCCCUGAGAAUACCACAGACAAUGAAAAAAGUCUGGUGAAGUAGGCUAAAGAGAUAUGACAACCAAAGAAGGCAGACUAGAUAGCUGGAGCUGGAAUGAGGCAAAUGUUGUGCAAUCUAGAAGAAGACUAAAGAAAGCUCCACGAUCUUGGACCAGAGAGAGCGGAGUGGCCAACCACUAGCAGCAAGCACCUACUGCAGUCUUCUCUGUAUAAUAAAAAUAAACUCCUACAACAAAAGUUCCCAACUGUUCUCAGUUCAUAGCAUGCUCAGUGUUUCAGUAAUUUUUUCUUGGUUCCCCUAGGCCAAAAGAAACACCUAAAGUUGCAUUUAUCAAGUAGUUAGGUGUAAACAACUCAAUAACAUGUAUGUACUAACAGCUUAUUAGUCGUUUGAAAAAAUAAUACAAAUAAAUUAAAAGAAAAAUAGUAUUUUUAUUUCAUUCUUAAACAACCACAAAUACUAAUGGGAUGUGUGUUAAAUUGUGCACUCUAGUGUUUCUCAAAUUUUGGAGUAAGAUUGGACACCAUCACCCGUUCCACGUUGAUUUUCACUUAGUAUUUGCUCUUUUAAAAUUGUGGUAAAAUAUAUACAGCAUAAAAGCGAUCGUCUUAAUCAUUUGUAAGUAUACAGUUCGGUGGCAUUAAGUACAUUCACAUUAUUGUGCAACCAUCACCAUUACCCAUCUCCAAAACUUUUCCAUCCUCACCAACUGAAGCUCUGUACCCAUCAAACACUAACUCCUCAUGCCCCCUUCUCCCCAACUCCCAGCAACCACCACUCUUUCUGACUAUAUGAAUUUGACCAUUCCAGGAACUUCAUACAAAAGGAAUCAUACAAUACGUGUCCUUUUGUGACUGGUGCAUUUCAUUUAGCAUAAUUUCCUCAAAGAUCAUCCAUGUUGUGGCAUGUGUCAGAACUUCCUUUCUUUUUCAGGCUAAAUAAUAUGCCAUUGUAUGUAUAUACCACAUUGGGUUGUUUCUUCCUUUUGGCUAUCAUAAAUAAUGCUGCUGUGGACAUGGGUGUCAAAAGUACUUGCUGCUUCUAAAUCACAAUUACUGAAAAUGGAGCUUCUCAAAGAUAUGAUGUCACCAAAAGGAACAUAGUGCAACUUACUGUUAAAACUGUCAACCUCCUCAAGCUAGUAGUUUGCCUGGUGUCCAAAGGAUAUCACAUAUCCCUGUUUCCUUCUAAAUUUAAAAUACCCUGUGACUCCCAAAGUUCACUGUGGCACUCCAGUGACCUUUAACACACUGUUUGGGAACCACAAUCUAUGAUAUUAAAGCCACUGUUAUUUGAGUUUUCAACUGAGCAGAACUCAAUUUUUAAAUAAUAUAAAUAAUAUCAAAUGUAUACUUCUCAUGAGCCUUCCAUCAAAGAUUCUUCAGUCUUCAAGUCAGAUGCUUGUCUGUGUAGCAAUUCUUAGGCAACUUAACCUUUCUCCGUACACAGCUCUACGCUUCCCUAAGAGUUGCUAUAAUCACUUUCAAAGCUUAGAAAAUGCAUUUUCUUAGCCGCCGUGUAAACUGUACCUUGCCCCAAAGCAAUGAUACUGCUUUGGUUAAAAUUUAUGUGUCAACUUGACUGGGCCACUUGGUGCCCCAAUAUUAGGUCCAACACUACUCUGGGCAUUUCUAUGAGGGUGUUUUUGGGUAAGAUUAACAUUUAGUCAGUACACUGAGUAAAACAUAUUGCCCUCCCUAAUGUGGGUGGUUCUCAGCCCAUCAGUUGAAGUCCUGAAUAGAACAAGGUUGACCCUCGCCCCCGACAAGAGAAAAUUCUUCCUGCCUGAUUGCCUUCCAACUGGGACACUGGCUUUUUCCUUGCCUUUAACUUCAAACUGAAACAUCAGCUCUUCCUGGAUCUUGAGCCUGGCAGCCUUCAGACAGGGACUACAUCGUGGGUUCUCCUAGUUCUCAGGCCUUCAGACUCAGACUGCAAUGAAACCAUUGGCUCUCCUGGGUCUCCAGCUGAUUGACUCUCCCUGUAGAUCCUGGAACCUGCCACUCUCCAUAAUCCCAAGGGCCAAUUUCUUAUAACAAAUUUCUUUAUAUAUAUACACACACACAAAUAUACACAUGUAGAUAUGUAUCCUAUUUGUCUAUUUCUCUGGAAAACCCUAAUUAAUAAACCCACAAGAGUCCCAUGUUCCAUCAGCGUCCUCAAAAUGGAUCCAAACUCCUUGGCACAUCAUUCAUGGCCCUUCCUCUGGCUUCUGCUGAUUCUUCUCCAGCUUCAUCUCUUACCACUGUUUUCUGUACCCCUACCUAUGUGGAACCAGGUGCAAGUCCAUGACAUGCACCAGGAUUUCUUCCCUCCAAGUUUUGAGUGCAUUUUUCUCCCUUCCCAGAAUAAGUCCCAGACAACCCCCUCCAUGCAAAUAUAUGCGUGCACACACAAACACAUACACACACACACACACACACACAGGAAUGCACUUUGCAGGAUUGCAAAGCUAGCUCUUUACCUUCCAAGUAUCUGCCUAUAUAGCACAGGCCAGGAACCCUUCUAUGUGGCCAUAUCAUUCUGAGUGUAUCCCUACCGGAGUCCUUACUGUGCUGUUUUUUUGUUUUUUUGUUUUUUUUUUUUUUGAGAUAGAGUCUUGCUUUCUUGCCCCGGCUGGAGUGCAAUGGCG